rnacentral:rRNA from 1 species
UACGAAGGGGGCUAGCGUUGCUCGGAAUUAUUGGGCGUAAAGAGCUCGUAGGCGGUUGGGUAAGUCGGGUGUGAAAACUCCAGGCUCAACUUGGAGAUGCCACCCGAUACUGCUCUGACUUGAGUUCGGUAGGGGAGUGGGGAAUUCCUGGUGUAGCGGUGAAAUGCGCAGAUAUCAGGAGGAACACCGGUGGCGAAGGCGCCACUCUGGGCCGAAACUGACGCUGAGGAGCGAAAGCGUGGGUAGCAAACAGG